UACGGGGGGGGCAAGCGUUGUUCGGAAUUACUGGGCGUAAAGGGCUCGUAGGCGGCCAACUAAGUCAGACGUGAAAUCCCUCGGCUUAACCGGGGAACUGCGUCUGAUACUGGAUGGCUUGAGUUCGGGAGAGGGAUGCGGAAUUCCAGGUGUAGCGGUGAAAUGCGUAGAUAUCUGGAGGAACACCGGUGGCGAAGGCGGCAUCCUGGACCGAUACUGACGCUGAGGAGCGAAAGCGUGGGUAGCGAACAGG
rnacentral:rRNA from 1 species